rnacentral:pre_miRNA from 1 species
AAAAAGACAAACCCUGAUUUCCGUGCCCAACGUUUGAUCGUCCGUCUUAUUUGAAAAAAUUAUGAAAAAAAUUAAAAAGACAAGUCACGUAUAAAAUAUUAAUCAUAUUUUAUCAUUUAACAAUAAUAAAAAUACGAAUUAUAAAAAAAAUUUAUAUAAGACAGACAGUUAAAGUUGGACACGGAAACUCAGGAUUUGCUUUUU